AAUCAACGCUGGCGGCGUGCCUAACACAUGCAAGUCGAACGCGAAAGGGGCUUCGGCCCUGAGUAGAGUGGCGAACGGGUGAGUAACACGUGGGUGACCUACCUUCGAGUGGGGGAGUAACGUCCCGAAAGGGACGCUAAUACCGCAUAACAUUCUGUGUUUGAAGACAUGGAAAUCAAAGACUGGGGAGUCGUUAGACCUGGCGCUUGAAGAGGGGCCCGGCGUCCGAUUAGCUAGUUGGUGAGGUAAUGGCUCACCAAGGCAACGAUCGGUAGCCGGCCUGAGAGGGGCGGACGGCCACACUGGGACUGAGACACGGCCCCGACUCCUACGGGAGG
rnacentral:rRNA from 1 species